rnacentral:rRNA from 1 species
GAUGAACGCUAGCGGCAGGCCUAACACAUGCAAGUCGAGGGGUAGAAGGAGCUUGCUCCUUUGAGACCGGCGCACGGGGGCGUAACGCGUAUGCAAUCUACCUUGUACAGGGGAAUAGCCCAGAGAAAUUUGGAUUAAUGCCCCAUAGUAUAUAACCUUCGCAUGUUGGUUAUAUUAAAGUUCCAACGGUACAAGAUGAGCAUGCGUCCCAUUAGUUAGUUGGUAAGGUAACGGCUUACCAAGACGAUGAUGGGUAGGGGUCCUGAGAGGGAGAUCCCCCACACUGGUACUGAGACACGGACCAGACUCCUACGGGAGGCAGCAGUGAGGAAUAUUGGUCAAUGGUCGCAAGACUGAACCAGCCAUGCCGCGUGCAGGAAGACGGUCCUAUGGAUUGUAAACUGCUUUUAUACAGGAAGAAACCCUCCCACGUGUGGGAGCUUGACGGUACUGUAGGAAUAAGGAUCGGCUAACUCCGU